rnacentral:rRNA from 1 species
GGUUAAGCGACUAAGCGUACACGGUGGAUGCCCUGGCAGUCAGAGGCGAUGAAGGACGUGCUAAUCUGCGAAAAGCGUCGGUAAGGUGAUAUGAACCGUUAUAACCGGCGAUGUCCGAAUGGGGAAACCCAGUGUGAUUCGUCACACUAUCGUUAACUGAAUACAUAGGUUAACGAGGCGAACCGGGGGAACUGAAACAUCUAAGUACCCCGAGGAAAAGAAAUCAACCGAGAUUCCCCCAGUAGCGGCGAGCGAACGGGGAGCAGCCCAGAGUCUGAAUCAGCUUGUGUGUUAGUGGAACGGUCUGGAAAGUCCGACGGUACAGGGUGAUAGUCCCGUACACCAAAAUGCACAGGUUGUGAACUCGAAGAGUAGGGCGGGACACGUGGUAUCCUGUCUGAAUAUGGGGGGACCAUCCUCCAAGGCUAAAUACUCCUGACUGACCGAUAGUGAACCAGUACCGUGAGGGAAAGGCGAAAAGAACCCCGGCGAGGGGAGUGAAAAAGAACCUGAAACCGUGUACGUACAAGCAGUGGGAGCACCUUCGGGUGUGACUGCGUACCUUUUGUAUAAUGGGUCAGCGACUUAUAUUCUGUAGCAAGGUUAACCGUAUAGGGGAGCCGCAGGGAAACCGAGUCUUAACUGGGCGUUAAGUUGCAGGGUAUAGACCCGAAACCCGGUGAUCUAGCCAUGGGCAGGUUGAAGGUUGGGUAACACUAACUGGAGGACCGAACCGACUAAUGUUGAAAAAUUAGCGGAUGACUUGUGGCUGGGGGUGAAAGGCCAAUCAAACCGGGAGAUAGCUGGUUCUCCCCGAAAGCUAUUUAGGUAGCGCCUCGUGAACUCAUCUUCGGGGGUAGAGCACUGUUUCGGCUAGGGGGUCAUCCCGACUUACCAACCCGAUGCAAACUACGAAUACCGAAGAAUGUUAUCACGGGAGACACACGGCGGGUGCUAACGUCCGUCGUGAAGAGGGAAACAACCCAGACCGCCAGCUAAGGUCCCAAAGUCAUGGUUAAGUGGGAAACGAUGUGGGAAGGCACAGACAGCCAGGAUGUUGGCUUAGAAGCAGCCAUCAUUUAAAGAAAGCGUAAUAGCUCACUGGUCGAGUCGGCCUGCGCGGAAGAUGUAACGGGGCUAAACCAUGCACCGAAGCUGCGGCAGCGACACUAUGUGUUGUUGGGUAGGGGAGCGUUCUGUAAGCCUGCGAAGGUGACCUGUGAGGGUUGCUGGAGGUAUCAGAAGUGCGAAUGCUGACAUAAGUAACGAUAAAGCGGGUGAAAAGCCCGCUCGCCGGAAGACCAAGGGUUCCUGUCCAACGUUAAUCGGGGCAGGGUGAGUCGACCCCUAAGGCAAGGCCGAAAGGCGUAGUCGAUGGGAAACAGGUUAAUAUUCCUGUACUUGGUGUUACUGCGAAGGGGGGACGGAGAAGGCUAUGUUAGCCGGGCGACGGUUGUCCCGGUUUAAGCAUGUAGGCUGGUUAUCCAGGCAAAUCCGGAUAAUCAAGGCUGAGGUGUGAUGACGAGGCACUACGGUGCUGAAGUAACAAAUGCCCUGCUUCCAGGAAAAGCCUCUAAGCAUCAGGUAACAUUAAAUCGUACCCCAAACCGACACAGGUGGUCAGGUAGAGAAUACCAAGGCGCUUGAGAGAACUCGGGUGAAGGAACUAGGCAAAAUGGUGCCGUAACUUCGGGAGAAGGCACGCUGGUGUGUAGGUGAAGUCCCUGCGGAUGGAGCUGAGACCAGUCGAAGAUACCAGCUGGCUGCAACUGUUUAUUAAAAACACAGCACUGUGCAAACACGAAAGUGGACGUAUACGGUGUGACGCCUGCCCGGUGCCGGAAGGUUAAUUGAUGGGGUUAUCCGUAAGGAGAAGCUCUUGAUCGAAGCCCCGGUAAACGGCGGCCGUAACUAUAACGGUCCUAAGGUAGCGAAAUUCCUUGUCGGGUAAGUUCCGACCUGCACGAAUGGCGUAAUGAUGGCCAGGCUGUCUCCACCCGAGACUCAGUGAAAUUGAACUCGCUGUGAAGAUGCAGUGUACCCGCGGCAAGACGGAAAGACCCCGUGAACCUUUACUAUAGCUUGACACUGAACAUUGAGCCUUGAUGUGUAGGAUAGGUGGGAGGCUUUGAAGCGUGGACGCCAGUCUGCGUGGAGCCAACCUUGAAAUACCACCCUUUAAUGUUUGAUGUUCUAACGUUGGCCCCUGACCGGGGUUGCGGACAGUGUCUGGUGGGUAGUUUGACUGGGGCGGUCUCCUCCCAAAGCGUAACGGAGGAGCACGAAGGUUAGCUAAUCCUGGUCGGACAUCAGGAGGUUAGUGCAAUGGCAUAAGCUAGCUUGACUGCGAGCGUGACGGCGCGAGCAGGUGCGAAAGCAGGUCAUAGUGAUCCGGUGGUUCUGAAUGGAAGGGCCAUCGCUCAACGGAUAAAAGGUACUCCGGGGAUAACAGGCUGAUACCGCCCAAGAGUUCAUAUCGACGGCGGUGUUUGGCACCUCGAUGUCGGCUCAUCACAUCCUGGGGCUGAAGUAGGUCCCAAGGGUAUGGCUGUUCGCCAUUUAAAGUGGUACGCGAGCUGGGUUUAGAACGUCGUGAGACAGUUCGGUCCCUAUCUGCCGUGGGCGCUGGAGAAUUGAGGGGGGCUGCUCCUAGUACGAGAGGACCGGAGUGGACGCAUCACUGGUGUUCGGGUUGUCAUGCCAAUGGCACUGCCCGGUAGCUAAAUGCGGAAGAGAUAAGUGCUGAAAGCAUCUAAGCACGAAACUUGCCCCGAGAUGAGUUCUCCCUGAGACUUUAAGUCUCCUGAAGGAACGUUAAAGACGAUGACGUUGAUAGGCCGGGUGUGUAAGCGCAGCGAUGCGUUGAGCUAACCGGUACUAAUGAACCGUGAGGCUUAACCUU